CAGCUCCAUUUCCACAAGAAGCUGUGUCCGUGUGUGUGUGUUUGUCUCUCUUAUUUCAACAGAUUGUGCCAGUGAAACAUUGCAAGCUUCUCCUGUAUUGAGACAGGAAAUCAGUCCCUGACAUUUUGGCCCAACGUGUGCUUUUUGGACUUCAAGGCGGGAAGUGCUGACCCACAAGAAGUUGCCUGAGGAUUGAGAAAUCGUCUAACAUUGACUGGGAAGUCAUGACCCCCAAAGCACGAUCCUGAUUUAGAUACCGGUACUCACAGCAUACUUCCUGGUGAUUGGGUGAUGGUUAAGAAGUUCCUCCGAAAACAUUCUCUAGAGCCAAGAUAUAUGAUGGUCCAUUCCAAGUGUUGCUGACAACAGCUACUUCAGUAAAGUUGGCCGGAAAGAACACUUGGAUACACGCAUCCCAUUGCAAAAAGGCUCCAGUUCCUGAGGAUUGUGACCCACCGGCAUCAGAAUGAUGUUAUAUAUCCUUCUUUUUACAGUGACAAUUGUAUAUACACAGGAGGUGGCUAUUAGGAAAACAGAACGGAUAGUGCAAUUCUGGUAUAAUUCAUCAGACACACAUGUUGCUACCUUUAUAUUUGAUUACUGUGAUGUAUAUCCUCCAGUUGCGUGGGAUUGGUCUAAUACGUACUGACGGCUGUUUGUUGCCCGCGGAAACAUAUAUCUAUGUGAUGCAACUGAGGAUUGUGACAAUUGGGGAUCUGUGGGUUGGAAUACAGGUGAUGACUGGGGAAACAGACCACAGCAUGCUCUGAAUAAAAAAGACAAAUAUGGGGAGCCAUUACUUGAUAGACUGACCUUGAAAAAAA